CCUAAUAAAUUUGACUUCCAGAUAAAUACACAUUUUAAAUGUGUUAAGUAUAUCUCAUGUGAUAUUCGGGACACACUUAUGCUAAAUCUGUAGCAUGCAGUGUUUGGAGCGUAUA
rnacentral:miRNA from 1 species